UUGGCGCGGUUUGUUGGGUUGGUUGGCACGGUUGGUUGGCGCGGUUUGUUGGGUUGGUUGGCGCGGUUGGUUCGACGAGCUGAAUCCCAGAAGUUUGCACUUGACAGCAACAAUCUGAAAGCAGGUCGGACAAGCAUCUUCUCCUGAACGUCAGCACUUCAGGACAAUGUUUGUGGAGGAGAAGGUGAUAAUGUGGGUGUGGUGGGACAUGAGGGCGGAGGAGAAGGGGAUGCUGAGGUGGAGGUGGACCUGAAGGAGGUUAGAGGAGGAGAAGGGGAUGCUGAGGUGGAGGUGGGACCUGAAGGAGGUUAGAGGAGGAGAAGGGGAUGCUGAGGUGGAGGUUGGACCUGAAGGAGGUUAGCGGAGGAGAAGGGGAUGCCCAGGUGGAGGUUGGACCUGAAGGAGGUUAGAGGAGGAGAAGGGGAUGCUGAGAUGGAGGUGGGACCUGAAGGAGGUUAGAGGAGGAGAAGGGGAUGCCCAGGUGGAGGUGGGACCUGAAGGAGGUUAGCGGAGGAGAAAGGGAUGCCCAGGUGGAGGUUGGACCUGAAGGAGGUUAGCGGAGGAGAAGGGGAUGCUGAGGAGGAGAAGGGGAUGCCCAGGUGGAGGUUGGACCUGAAGGAGGUUAGCGGAGGAGAAGGGGAUGCUCAGGUGGAGGUUGGACCUGAAGGAGGUUAGAGGAGGAGAAGGGGAUGCUGAGGUGGAUGUUGGACCUGAGGACUUCUGGUUCUGC